GGGGCAGUAGCUCAGCGGGAGAGCGCCAGAAUCGCACUCUGGAGGUCAUGGGUUCGAGUCCCAUCUGCUCCACCA
rnacentral:tRNA from 1 species